rnacentral:misc_RNA from 1 species
AGGCCUUCUUAGAGCAAAUGACUCAAUUGCUCCAUCAAGUCACUGGAGCUAUGCCACCACCAACCCUUUAGGUCACCAGGUGAAUUAUAGAUUAUCAACAAAAAAGGAUUGUGUUAAAGAUAACAGAUGGAAAUGAGAAGGAAGUUCUAUAUGAGAUGAAAGAAGAUGAGUACAGAACUGGUUGAAAAAAAGAGUUAGUCUAUUGGGAUUAUACCGUAGUGACUAUGCAAUGCUCUUGAUGUUUG